GACGAACGCUGGCGGCGUGCUUAACACAUGCAAGUCGAGCGGUAAGGCCCUUUCGGGGGUACACGAGCGGCGAACGGGUGAGUAACACGUGGGUGACCUGCCCUUAGCUCUGGGAUAAGCCUGGGAAACUGGGUCUAAUACCGGAUAUGACUCCAUGACGCAUGUUGUGGGGUGGAAAGCCUUGUGCGGCUAGGGAUGGGCCCGCGGCCUAUCAGCUUGUGGUGGGGUGAUGGCCUACCAAGGCGACGACGGGUAGCCGGCCUGAGAGGGCGACCGGCCACACUGGGGACUGAGACACGGCCCAGACUCCUACGGGAGGCAGCAGUGGGGAAUCUUGCGCAAUGGGCGAAAGCCUGACGCAGCGACGCCGCGUGAGGGAUGACGGCCUCGGUUGUAA
rnacentral:rRNA from 1 species